rnacentral:lncRNA from 10 species
GAUACAAGCAAGCGAGUGCAGGAGUGCAGGAGCUGCUGCUGGCAGAGUGGGCAGACAGGGAGGGGUGAGGUCCUUAAGCCACGCUUGCUUUCUCAGCAGGGUAGCUCACGGCCUGAGCAGGAGCACUGUGGGAGUGAGACCGACCUCGCCAACUGCUUGGGAACUGGGCGAGAGCUCGUAUUAAGGGCUAUCCAAUGCUUUCCUGGCAAACUAUAUAACACAGCAGAGGGCCAAGAUCCACUCUAGAACAGUACUCCAUUAGCCUAAGAACCACUCCUUCAUUCCCCCACAGUGGCUACUGCAAGCCCUGUCCAAGGAGAGUCUGACCCCAGACCCACCUAACCCUGCCCCCACUUGAUGGUAUUUCCCUAGCCACCCUGGUAGCCCAGCACAAAACACAGAACCUCUUGGGAGCUUUAUGGCCAUGCCCAUCACCUGAGAAACCAAAAUGCUUACCCUGGCCACCUUAGGACAAGCUUAGAGCCCCCUACUACUAUGGCAGCUGGUGCUCUCUUGAAAGUGCCACCUCGUCGCUGGAGGCCAACCAUUAAAUAAUUUGCUCUUGAAUGAUGUUUGGGUCAACAAUGAAAUCAGGAUGGAAAUUUAAAAAUUCUUUGAGUUGAACAAUGACAGUGAAACAACUUAUCAAAACCUCUGGGAUACAGCAAAAGUGGUGCUAAGAGGAAAGUUUAAAGCAUUAAAUGCUUACAUCAAAAAGUCUGAAAGAGCACAAGUAGGCAAUUUAACAUCAUACUUCACGGAACUAGAGAAACAAAAACAAACCAAAUCCAAACUCAGCAGAAAAAAAGUAAAUAACAAAGAUCAGAGCAGAACUAAAUGAAAUUAAAAUUAAAAACACAAAACAUAAAUGAAACAAAAAGCAGUUUCUUUGAAAAGAUAAAACACAAUUGAUAGACCAUUACUGAGAUUAACCAAGAAGAUAGAAGAUCCAAAUAAGCUCAAUUAGAAAUGAAACUGGAGAUAUUACAACCAAUACCCCAGAAAUACAAAAGAUCAUUCAAGGCUACUAUGAACACUUUUAUGCACACAAAUUAGAAAAUCUGGAAGAGAUGGAUAAAUUCCUCCCAUAUUAAAUCACGAAAAAAUAGAAACUCUGAACAGACCAAUAAUUAGCAAGAUUGAAACAAUAAUAAAAAAAAUUGCCAACAAAAAAAUGUCCAGAACCAGAUGGACUGACAGGUGAAUUCUAUUAGACAUUCAAAGAAGAAUUGAUACCAAUCUUACUGAAACUAUUCCAAAAGAUAGAAAAAGAGGGACUCCUCCAUAAAUCAUUCUAUGAAGCCAGUAUCAUCCUAAUUCCAAAACUGGGAAAGGACAUAACAAUAAAAGAAAACUACAGACUAAGAUCCCUGAUGAACACAGAUGCAAAAAUACUCAACAAAAUACUAGCUAACUGAAUCCAACAGCAUAUCAAAAAGGUAAUACAAUAGGAUCAAGUGGGUUUCAUACCAGAAAUGCAAGGAUGGUUUAACAUUCACAAGUCAACAAAUGUGACACAUCACAUCAACAGCAUUAAAAACAAAAAUCAUAUGAUCAUCUCAAUCAAUGCAGAAAAAGCAUUUGAUAAAAUCCAGCAAAACUGGUAUACAAGAGACAUACCUCAAGGUUAUAAAAGCCAUCUAUGACAAACCCACAGCCAACAUGAUACUGAAUGGGGAAAAGUUGAAAGCUUUCUUCCUGAGAACUGGAACAAGACAAAGAUGCCCACUUUCACAACUUUUAUCCAGCGUAGUGCUGGAAGUUCUAGCCAAAGCAAUCAGACAACAGAAAGAAAUAAAGGGCAUCUAAAUUAGUAAAGAGGACGUCAAACUGUUGCUGUUCACCGAUGAUAUAAUUGUAUGCCUAGAAAAGCCUAAAGACUCACCCAAAAAGCUCAUAGAUCUGAUAAAUGAAUUCAAUAAAGUUUUAGGAUACAAAAUCAAUGUACACAAAUCAGUAGCACUGCUGUACACCAACAACAAGACUGAGAAACAAAUCAAGAACUCAAUCCCUUUUACAACAGCUGCAAAAAAUAAAAUAAAAUACUUUGGAAUAUACUGAACCAAGGAGGCGAAAUAUCUCUACAAGAAAAACUGCAAGACAGAAAGAAAUCACUGAUAACACAAACAAAUGGAAGCACAUUCCAUGCUCAUGGAUGGGUAGACUCGAUACUGUGAAAAUGAUCAUGGUGCCAAAAGCAGUCUAUGGAUUCGAUGCAAUUCCCAUCAAAAUACCAUCAGCAUUUUUCAUGGAGCUUUAAAAAGCAAUCCUAAAAUUCAAAUGGAACCAAAAAAGACCCUACAUAGCCAAAGCAAGACUAAGCAAAAAGAACACAUCUGGAGGCAUCACAUCACCUGACUUUAUACUACAAGGCUGUAGUUACCAAAACAGUAUGGUACUGGUAUGAAAACAGGCAAGUAGACCAAUGGAACAGAAUAGAGAACCCAGAAAUAAAGCCAAAUACUUACAGUUAACUGAUCUUUGACAAAGCAAACAAAAACAUAAAGUGGGGAAAGGACACCCUAUUCAACAAAUGGUGCAGGGAUAACUGGGAAGCCACAUGUAGAAGGGUAAAACUGAAUCCUCAUCUCUCAACUUAUACAAAAAUCAACUCAAGAUGGAUCAAAGACUUAAAUCUAGGCCGAGCAUGGGGGAUCACAACUGUAAUCCCAGCACUUUGGGAGGCCAAGGUGGCCAGAUCACAUGAGGUCAGGAGUUCAAGACCAGCCUUGCCAACAUGGUGAAAUCCUGUCUCUACCACAAAUACAAAAAAUUAGUCAGGCGUGGUGAUGGGUGCCUGUAAUCCCAGCUACUAGGGAGGCUCAGGCAUGAGAACCUGAGAGUUGGGAGUUGCAGUGAGCGGAGAUUGCUCUACUGCACUCCAGCCUGGGUGACAGAGUGAGAUUGUCUCAAAAAAAAAAAAAAAAAAGAAAAGAAAAGAAAAGAAAAAAGACUUAAAAUCUAAGACCCAAAAUCAUAAACAUUCCAGAAGAUAACAUCAGUAAAACUACCCUAGACAUUGGUUUAGGCAAAGAGUUCGUUAACUACCAAGAACCCAAAAGCAAAUGCAACAAAAACAAAAAUAAAUACAUUGGACCUAAUUAAGUUACAAGUUUCUGCAUAGCAAAAGAAAUAAUCAGCAGAGUAAACAGACAACCCACAGAGAGGGAGAAAAUAUUCUCAAACUAUGCAUCUCACAAAGGACUAAUAUUUAGAAUCUACAAGGAACUCAAACAAAUCAGCAAGAAAAAAACAAAUAAUCCCAUCAAAAAGUGGGCAAAGGAAAUUAAUAGACAAUUCUCAAAAGAAGAUGUGCAAAUGGCCAACACACACAUGAAAAAAUGCUCAGCAUCACUAUCAGGGAAAUGCAAAUUACAACCACAAUGAGAUACUACCUACUCUUGCAAGAAUGGCCAUAAUUUAAAAAUCAAAAAACAAUAGAUGUUGAUGUGGAUGUGGUGGAAAGGGAACACUUUUACACUGCUGUUGGGAAUGUAAACUAGUACAACCACUAUAGAAAACACUGUGGAGAUUUUUUAAAGAGCUAAAAGUACAACUACCAUUUGAUCCAGUAAUCCCACCACUGGGUAUCUAUCCAGAGGAAAAGAAGUCAUUACAUGAAAUAGAUAUUGCACACUCAUGUUUAUAGCAGCACAACUCACAAUUGCAACAAUUUGGAACCAGCCUAAAUGCCCAUCCACCAAUGAGUGGAAAAAGAAAACGUGGUGUAUAUGUGUACAUAUAUAUACAUAUACACCAUGGAAUACUACUCAGUGAUAAGAAUGAAUGAAAUAAUGGCAUUCACAGCAACCUCAUGGAGUUUGAAACCAUUAUUCUAAGUGUAGUAACUCAGGAAUGGAAAACCAAAUAUUGUAUAUUCUCACUUAUAACUGGAAGCUAAGCUACGAGGAUUCAAAGGCAUAAGAAUUACAAAUUGGACUUUGGGGACACCGGAGAAAUGGGGGAAGGGUGGUUAAGGAUAAAAAACUACGUAUUGGGCACAACGUACACUGCUCGGAUGAUGUGUGCACCAAAAUCUCAGAUAUCACCACUAAAGAACUUAUCUAUGUAACAAAAACCACCAGUUCCCCCAAAACUACUGAAUUUCUUUUUUAAAAAAGGUAAUUAAGAUACCUUGUAGACAAGGACCUUUGAUUACACACUGGUAGAAAUUUCACUUUACCAUUUCAGCCACCAUAUGCCUGCUGUCUGCCCGGGGCUUGGGAUUCAAAGACAAAUGUUUCCAGUUCCCUUCCUCCCACAGGUGCUUGUGGCCUGGUGGGAAGCAGGCAACAUGUGCACAUAGAUCAAAGGAAGCACCAAGUAGCUGUUUUCACGAAGGGUGUGGUGAGCACAGAAAGGAAGCCACCUGUUGGCCUGGAGAAGUUGAGGAA